rnacentral:rRNA from 1 species
GACGAACGCUGGCGGCGUGCUUAACACAUGCAAGUCGAACGGAAAGGCCCUGCUUUUGUGGGGUGCUCGAGUGGCGAACGGGUGAGUAACACGUGAGUAACCUGCCCUUGACUUUGGGAUAACUUCAGGAAACUGGGGCUAAUACCGGAUAGGAGCUCCUGCUGCAUGGUGGGGGUUGGAAAGUUUCGGCGGUUGGGGACGGACUCGCGGCUUAUCAGCUUGUUGGUGGGGUAGUGGCUUACCAAGGCUUUGACGGGUAGCCGGCCUGGGAGGGUGACCGGCUCCAUGGGGCUUAGGUAACGGCCCAGAUUCGAACGGGAGGAAGCGGUGGGAAUUUUGGCACAUGGGGCGGAGGCCUGAUGCAGAACCGCCGGGUGGGGAAUAACGGCCUUCGGGUGGUAACCCGUUUUCGCCUGUAACGAGGCGUGGUUGACGUAAUGGGUAAAGAAGCACCGGCUAACUACGUG